GCGUCCAGCUGUUCAACUGUCGAGAUGCUGCAGACCUCCUGGGGUUUUCACAUAUCUAAAUCUAUGGUUGUUCUGUGGAUGGAGAUGUUGUUGAAAGAGAGAGGAGCCAAAAUGGUUGGAGUUACAUUCGUGCUACAAUAAUCUAACUAACCACUCUUGAACCUCAUAGUGGACCUGCCUGAUUCAUCCUGAUGCACUACUUCUGGAUAGAUCUCUUUAACUGGAGGCCACUCACUGCUGCUGAAGAUGUUUCCAUGAGGUUACUGUGGAUGGUUGAACUCAAGAACCAUGAGCAUGUUUUUGGACUGUAAUUACUGUUAAACAGUCUGCUACAAUGAACACUGCCAUGAACAGUUUCACAUUCAAGCAUCCGAAAGUGAACAGUUUAAAACUUUAACAAAGAUAAAACUAUAAUGAAUGAACACUCGGUACCUCUCAAGGUUUCCCCUCAUGAAGUCUCAGGGAGUUUUCCUUUGCCACUGUCACCACUGACUUGCUUAUUAGCGAUAAACUUAUGGGUAAUAAAUUAUACAUUUAAAAUGUAUAUUUGUAUAUGAUUUAUUACUGUAAAGUUGCUUUAAUUUUCUGUAAAGUCCAUUGUUAAGCUUUAUACUACAAAUAACAUUGAAUUGGAUUGAAAUUUAUGAUUUGUAAC